rnacentral:rRNA from 1 species
UGCUACCUCAGGUCAGGCGGGGCCACCCGCUGAGUUUAACCAAAUCAUUAACCGGAGGA